CCAGUAGUGUACGCUCCUUCUAAAGACUAAGCCAUGCAUGCCUUUGAAUAAGAAAUACAGCAGUACUCUGAAUCUGCGAACGGCUCCGCAUACCAGUAGUAACCCAUUGCAGGGAUGUCAAGGAGGUUGUAAUGCAAUACGCUUUACUCAGUCCUUGGCUCCUAUGGAUAAUCGCGGUAAUUCUGAGACUAAUACAAGAACGUAUCAUCUGGUGUCCGGGGUUAGGGGGUAACCAAUCCUCCUAUACUUACGAAUCGGAGGUCGUGUGUUGCUACUGCAACUGUAUAGUUUGAAUACACGCAUGACAGUACCGCCGUCGAAUGAUCUCGAGAAACAUGAGAAUGUAGGCCCGAAAGGCCGAUCGCGUAGUACCGUUUUCAGGAACCGAGGUACCGGUAUUGGGCUUCUGACCUAUCAACUAGAAUGCGAUGUAAUGGAUUGCAAUGGUUACAACGGGUACAGAGGAUAAGGGUUCGAUCCUGGAGAGUGGGCCUGAGAGAUUGCUCAUACUUCUAAGGAAGGCAGCAGGCGCGUAACGUUCCCAAUGGACAAUGUCCGAGGGCGUAAAGGGAAAUAUGAAUACUUGCCUAUGGUAGGUAAUUCAAAUGGGACUGUUCUAAACACCCUA
rnacentral:rRNA from 1 species